rnacentral:rRNA from 1 species
AUUGAACGCUGGCGGCAGGCCUAACACAUGCAAGUCGAGCGGAGCGGCGGACGGGUGAGUAAUGCCUAGGACUCUGCCUGGGAGUGGGGGAUAACGUCCGGAAACGGGCGCUAUUACUGCAAACUCUCAGCAGAGCCUAGGUGGGAUUAGCUAGUGGGUGGGGUAAAGGCUUACCAAGGCGACGAUCCGUAACUGGUCUGAGAGGAUGAUCAGUCACACUGGAACUGAGACACGGUCCAGACUCCUACGGGAGGCAGCAGUGGGGAAUAUUGGACAAUGGGCGAAAGCCUGAUCCAGCCAUGCCGCGUGUGUGAAGAAGGUCUUCGGAUUGUAAAGCACUUUAAGUUGGGAGGCGUUACCAACAGAAUAAGCACCGGCUAACUUCGUGCCAGCAGCCGCGGUAAUUC